rnacentral:rRNA from 2 species
GCCUAAUACAUGCAAGUCGAGCGCACUGGCCCAACAGAAAUGACGUGCUUGCACUGAUUUGACGUUGGAUUCCCAGUGAGCGGCGGACGGGUGAGUAACACGUGGGCAACCUGCCCCAAAGCGGGGGAUAACAUUUGGAAACAGGUGCUAAUACCGCAUAACUUGGAAAACCACAUGGUUUUCCAAUAAAAGAUGGUUUCGGCUAUCACUUUGGGAUGGGCCCGCGGUGCAUUAGCUAGUUGGUAAGGUAACGGCUUACCAAGGCGAUGAUGCAUAGCCGAGUUGAGAGACUGAUCGGCCACAAUGGAACUGAGACACGGUCCAUACUCCUACGGGAGGCAGCAGUAGGGAAUCUUCCACAAUGGGCGCAAGCCUGAUGGAGCAACACCGCGUGAGUGAAGAAGGGUUUCGGCUCGUAAAACUCUGUUGUUGGAGAAGAACGUGCGUAAGAGUAACUGUUUACGCAGUGACGGUAUCCAACCAGAAAGUCACGGCUAACUACGUGCCAGCAGCCGCGGUAAAAAAAA